rnacentral:rRNA from 1 species
GACGAACGCUGGCGGCGUGCCUAAUACAUGCAAGUUGAGCGCUGAAGGUUGGUACUUGUACCAACUGGAUGAGCAGCGAACGGGUGAGUAACGCGUGGGGAAUCUGCCUUUGAGCGGGGGACAACAUUUGGAAACGAAUGCUAAUACCGCAUAAAAACUUUAAACACAAGUUUUAAGUUUGAAAGAUGCAAUUGCAUCACUCAAAGAUGAUCCCGCGUUGUAUUAGCUAGUUGGUGAGGUAAAGGCUCACCAAGGCGAUGAUACAUAGCCGACCUGAGAGGGUGAUCGGCCACAGUGGGACUGAGACACGGCCCAAACUCCUACGGGAAGCAGCAGUAGGGAAUCUUCGGCAAUGGACGAAAGUCUGACCGAGCAACGCCGCGUGAGUGAAGAAGGUUUUCGGAUCGUAAAACUCUGUUGGUAGAGAAGAACGUUGGUGAGAGUGGAAAGCUCAUCAAGUGACGGUAACUACCCAGAAAGGGACGGCUAACUACGUG